UUCGCCUACCCGCAAGUCGAACGGCAGCAUGGUACGGUUUAACUGUACUGAUGGCGAGUGGCGAACGGGUGAGUAAAGCGUAGGAAUAUGCCUUAAAGAGGGGGAUAACCCGGGGAAACUCGGGCUAAUACCGCGUAAGCUCUUUGGAGUGAAGCUGGGGACUGAGAGAUCGGCCUGGCGCUUUAAGAUUAGCCUACGUCCGAUUAGUUAGUUGGUGGGGUAAGGGCCUACCAAGGCGAUGAUCGGUAGCUGUUCUGAGAGGAAGGUCAGCCACACUGGGACUGAGACACGGCCCAGACUCCUACGGGAGGCAGCAGUGGGGAAUAUUGGACAAUGGGGGGAACCCUGAUCCAGCAAUGCCGCGUGUGUGAAGAAGGCCUGCGGGUUGUAAAGCACUUUCGGCGGGGAGGAGAGUUAAUUGGUUAAGAGCUGAUUAACUGGACGGUACCUGCAGAAGAAGCACCGGCUAACUCCGUGCCAGCAGCCGCGGUAAUACGGAGGGUGCGAGCGUUAAUCGGAAUUACUGGGCGUAAAGGGUGCGUAGGUGGUUGAGUAAGUUAUCUGUGAAAGACCCGGGCUUAACCUGGGGGCGUCAGAUAAGACUGCUGGACUUGAGUAUGGGAGAGGGCAGUGGAAUUUCCGGUGUAGCGGUGAAAUGCGUAGAGAUCGGAAGGAACACCAGUGGCGAAGGCGACUGUCUGGCCUGAUACUGACACUGAGGCACGAAAGCGUGGGUAGCAAACAGGAUUAGAUACCCUGCUAGUCCACGCUGUAAACGAUGUCAACUAGCUGUUGGUCACGUAGAAGUGAUUGGUGGCGGAGCAAACGCGCUAAGUGACCGCCUGGGAGUACGUCGCAGAUUAAACUCAAAAGGAAUUGACGGGGCCCGCACAAGCGGGUGGGAGCAUGGUUGGU
rnacentral:rRNA from 1 species